GAUGAACGCUGGCGGCGUGCCUAAUACAUGCAAGUCGAGCGAACAGACGAGGAGCUUGCUCCUCUGAUGUUAGCGGCGGACGGGUGAGUAACACGUGGAUAACCUACCUAUAAGACUGGGAUAACUUCGGGAAACCGGAGCUAAUACCGGAUAACAUGUUGAACCGCAUGGUUCAACAGUGAAAGACGGUCUUGCUGUCAUUUAUAGAUGGAUCCGCGCCGCAUUAGCUAGUUGGUAAGGUAACGGCUUACCAAGGCAACGAUGCGUAGCCGACCUGAGAGGGGGAUCGGCCACACGGGAGCUGAGACACGGUCCAGACUCCUACGGGAGGCAGCAGUAGGGAAUCUUCCGCAAUGGGCGAAAGCCUGACGGAGCAACGCCGCGUGAGUGAAGAAGGUCUUCGGAUCGUAAAACUCUGUUAUUAGGGAAGAACAAAUGUGUAAGUAACUAUGCACGUCUUGACGGUACCUAAUCAGAAAGCCACGGCUAACUACGUG
rnacentral:rRNA from 1 species